rnacentral:rRNA from 1 species
AGUGAACGCUGGCGGUAGGCCUAACACAUGCAAGUCGAACGGCAGCACAGUAAGAGCUUGCUCUUACGGGUGGCGAGUGGCGGACGGGUGAGGAAUACAUCGGAAUCUACUUUUUCGUGGGGGAUAACGUAGGGAAACUUACGCUAAUACCGCAUACGACCUACGGGUGAAAGCAGGGGAUCUUCGGACCUUGCGCGAUUGAAUGAGCCGAUGUCGGAUUAGCUAGUUGGCGGGGUAAAGGCCCACCAAGGCGACGAUCCGUAGCUGGUCUGAGAGGAUGAUCAGCCAGACUGGAACUGAGACACGGUACAGGCUCAUACGGGAGGCAGCAGUGGGGAAUAUGGGACAAUGGGCGCAAGGCUGAUCCAGCCAUACCGCGUGAGUGAAGAAGGCCUUCGGGUUGCAAAGCCCUUUUGUUGGGAAAGAAAAGCAGCAGGUUAAUACCCCGCUGGUCUGACGGUACCCAAAGAAUAAGCACCGGCUAACUUCAUG